rnacentral:rRNA from 1 species
GACGAACGCUGGCGGCGUGCUUAACACAUGCAAGUCGAACGGAAAGGCCCUGCUUUUGUGGGGUGCUCGAGUGGCGAACGGGUGAGUAACACGUGAGUAACCUGCCCUUGACUUUGGGAUAACUUCAGGAAACUGGGGCUAAUACCGGAUAGGAGCUCCUGCUGCAUGGUGGGGGUUGGAAAGUUUCGGCGGUUGGGGAUGGACUCGCGGCUUAUCAGCUUGUUGGUGGGGUAGUGGCUUACCAAGGCUUUGACGGGUAGCCGGCCUGAGAGGGUGACCGGCCACAUUGGGACUGAGGUACGGCCCAGACUCCUACGGGAGGCAGCAGGGGGGAAUAUUGCACAAUGGGCGGAAGCCUGAUGCAGCAACGCCGCGUGCGGGAUGACGGCCUUCGGGUUGGAAACCGCUUUCGCCUGUGACGAAGCGUGAGUGACGGUAAUGGGUAAAGAAGCACCGGCUAACUACGUG